AAGAAACUUGUAGGAAGCCCAACACAUUUCUGAUCUCUUCUUUCUUCAGCUCCACCGACGCUUCCCAUUCUCACUUCUCUAAACCUCAUCUCCUCCAUAAACACCCACAAACCUCACCAUAUUUACCACUCUAACCUAACCAAAUACAAUUCAAAGCAUUGUGCUCCACAGCCUCAUCCUGAACGCGACCUCACACUCCAGUUCCCUUCGGUUCAACUCGGCCGAGUCAGAAUGCUGGAGCGGUGCUUAGGGCCUCGCCGGGCCCGCCAAGUCCAGAGGAUGCUCCGCCACGGAACGACGACGUUUCUCUGUCUAUUCUUAACCGUCGUCGUCCUGCGCGGCACAAUCGGCGCCGGCAAAUUCGGAACCCCGGAACAAGACUACAACGAAAUCCGCGAGCACUUCUACUCGAACAACCGGCGCGUGGAGCCCCACCGGGUCCUCCAAGAAGCCACCACCCAACCCGACCAAAAGGAAGCCGACCCAGCCCAGUCCAACAACUACGCCACCUUCGACAUAUCCAAAAUCCUCGUCGACGAACCAGGAUCCGACGACGAAAAGCGGGACCCGAACACUCCGUACAGUCUUGGGCCAAAAAUAUCGGAUUGGGACGAGCAGAGAUCCGAUUGGUUGAAAAAGAACCCGAGUUUCCCCAACUUUCUCGGACCCAAUAAGCCCAGGGUGUUGCUGGUAACCGGGUCGUCGCCCAAACCUUGUGAAAACCCGGUCGGCGAUCACUAUCUCUUGAAGUCGAUUAAGAACAAAAUCGACUACUGUAGGAUCCACGGGAUUGAGAUCUUCUACAACUUCGCGCUUCUGGACGCGGAAAUGCCGGGUUUUGGGCCAAGCUUCCAUUGAUCCGAAAGCUCUGCUUUCCCAUCCGGGAAGUGGAGUUUCUAUGGUGGAUGGACAGCGACGCCAUGUUCACCGACAUGGCGUUUGAGGUCCCCUGGGAACGCUACAAGGACCACAACUUCGUUAUGCACGGCUGGAACGAGAUGGUGUACGAUCAGAAGAACUGGAUCGGGUUGAACACCGGAAGCUUCUUACUGAGAAAUUGCCAGUGGUCUCUUGACAUUCUGGACGUCUGGGCUCCGAUGGGUCCGAAGGGGAAGAUCCGAGACGAGGCGGGUAAGGUUUUGACCCGGGAGCUCAAAGGCCGACCCGUUUUCGAAGCCGACGACCAGUCCGCCAUGGUUUACAUCUUGGCGAAAGGGAGAGAGACUUGGGGGGAGAAGGUGUACUUAGAGAGCGCGUAUUAUUUGCACGGGUAUUGGGGCAUUUUGGUGGAUCGAUACGAGGAGAUGAUCGAGAGCUACCAUCCGGGUUUCGGCGACCACCGGUGGCCGCUCGUGACCCAUUUCGUGGGUUGCAAGCCGUGCGGGAAGUUCGGGGAUUAUCCGGUGGAGCGGUGCCUGAAGCAGAUGGACCGGGCUUACAAUUUUGGGGAUAAUCAGGUGUUGCAGAUGUAUGGGUUCACCCAUAAAUCUCUGGGUAGUAGGAGAGUGAAGAGGGUUAGGAAUGAGAGUAGCAACCCACUUGAAGUGAAGGAUGAGCUUGGCUUGCUUCACCCUGCUUUCAAAGCUUUCAAGCCAUCAUCAUCAUCUUCUUGAUCCUUUUUUUUAUCCCACUUUUUUUUCUCUCUCUCUUUUUUAUUUAUUUUAUUAAAGGUAAUAAUACAUGUCAAUUUGUAUCUUCUUGCUUUUCUGAUUUGUUGUUUUGAUGUAUUUUUGUGUUAGAAAUGACUUUAAACUUCAGAUACAAUUCUUGGCUUUUUGGAAGAAAUGCAUAUGCCAUAUAUGUAUAGGAGGAGCUCCUUACACUUUGGAGUGGUGAAGAA